rnacentral:rRNA from 1 species
CACGUAGGGCGCAAGCGUUGUCCGGAAUUAUUGGGCGUAAAGAGCUCGUAGGCGGACUGUUGCGUCCGCUGUGAAAAGCUGGGGCUUAACCCUGGCCUUGCAGUGGAUACGGGCAGACUAGAGGUAGGUAGGGGAGAAUGGAAUUCCCGGUGUAGCGGUGAAAUGCGCAGAUAUCAGGAGGAACACCGGUGGCGAAGGCGGUUCUCUGGGCAUUACCUGACGCUGAGGAGCGAAAGUGUGGGGAGCGAACAGG